rnacentral:rRNA from 1 species
CGUCUAGGCGGGAAAAUAAGUUAGAUGUGAAAGCCAUGGGCUCAACCCGUGAAUUGCAUCUAAAACUGUUUUUCUUGAGUCCGGGAGAGGAGUGCGGAAUUCCAGGUGUAGCGGUGAAAUGCGUAGAUAUCUGGAAGAACACCAGUGGCGAAGGCGGCACUCUGGCCUAGGACUGACGCUGAAGCGCGAAAGCGUGGGGAGCGAACG